rnacentral:rRNA from 1 species
UACGUAGGGACCAAGCGUUGUUCGGAUUUACUGGGCGUAAAGGGCGCGUAGGCGGCAAUUCAAGUCAUCUGUGAAAUCUCCGGGCUUAACUCGGAACGGUCAGAUGAUACUGCUUUGCUAGAGUGCGGAAGGGGCAAUCGGAAUUCUUGGUGUAGCGGUGAAAUGCGUAGAUAUCGGGAGGAACACCAGUGGCGAAGGCGGCUACCUGGCCCACUCUUGACGCUGAGGCGCGAAAGCUGGGGGAGCAAACGGG